AUGAACGCUAGCUACAGGCUUAACACAUGCAAGUCGAGGGGCAGCAUGGUCUUAGCUUGCUAAGGCCGAUGGCGACCGGCGCACGGGUGAGUAACACGUAUCCAACCUGCCGUCUACUCUUGGACAGCCUUCUGAAAGGAAGAUUAAUACAAGAUGGCAUCAUGAGUCCGCAUGUUCACAUGAUUAAAGGUAUUCCGGUAGACGAUGGGGAUGCGUUCCAUUAGAUAGUAGGCGGGGUAACGGCCCACCUAGUCUUCGAUGGAUAGGGGUUCUGAGAGGAAGGUCCCCCACAUUGGAACUGAGACACGGUCCAAACUCCUACGGGAGGCAGCAGUGGGGAAUAUUGGUCAAUGGGCGAGAGCCUGAACCAGCCAAGUAGCGUGAAGGAUGACUGCCCUAUGGGUUGUAAACUUCUUUUAUAAAGGAAUAAAGUCGGGUAUGGAUACCCGUUUGCAUGUACUUUAUGAAUAAGGAUCGGCUAACUCCGUGCCAGCAGCCGCGGUAAUACGGAGGAUCCGAGCGUUAUCCGGAUUUAUUGGGUUUAAAGGGAGCGUAGAUGGAUGUUUAAGUCAGUUGUGAAAGUUUGCGGCUCAACCGUAAAAUUGCAGUUGAUACUGGAUAUCUUGAGUGCAGUUGAGGCAGGCGGAAUUCGUGGUGUAGCGGUGAAAUGCUUAGAUAUCACGAAGAACUCCGAUUGCGAAGGCAGCCUGCUAAGCUGCAACUGACAUUGAGGCUCGAAAGUGUGGGUAUCAAACAGGAUUAGAUACCCUGGUAGUCCACACGGUAAACGAUGAAUACUCGCUGUUUGCGAUAUACAGCAAGCGGCCAAGCGAAAGCGUUAAGUAUUCCACCUGGGGAGUACGCCGGCAACGGUGAAACUCAAAGGAAUUGACGGGGGCCCGCACAAGCGGAGGAACAUGUGGUUUAAUUCGAUGAUACGCGAGGAACCUUACCCGGGCUUAAAUUGCAGAUGAAUUACGGUGAAAGCCGUAAGCCGCAAGGCAUCUGUGAAGGUGCUGCAUGGUUGUCGUCAGCUCGUGCCGUGAGGUGUCGGCUUAAGUGCCAUAACGAGCGCAACCCUUGUUGUCAGUUACUAACAGGUUCCGCUGAGGACUCUGACAAGACUGCCAUCGUAAGAUGUGAGGAAGGUGGGGAUGACGUCAAAUCAGCACGGCCCUUACGUCCGGGGCUACACACGUGUUACAAUGGGGGGUACAGAGGGCCGCUACCACGCGAGUGGAUGCCAAUCCCCAAAACCUCUCUCAGUUCGGACUGGAGUCUGCAACCCGACUCCACGAAGCUGGAUUCGCUAGUAAUCGCGCAUCAGCCACGGCGCGGUGAAUACGUUCCCGGGCCUUGUACACACCGCCCGUCAAGCCAUGGGAGCCGGGGGUACCUGAAGUGCGUAACCGCGAGGAGCGCCCUAGGGUAAAACUGGUGACUGGGGCU
rnacentral:rRNA from 1 species